rnacentral:rRNA from 1 species
GAACGAAGGCUUCGGCCUUAGUGGCGCACGGGUGCGUAACGCGUAGGUAUCUGCCGUGGGGUACGGAAUAACUCAGAGAAAUUUGAGCUAAUACCGUAUGAUGUCUUCGGACCAAAGAUUUAUCGCCCUGAGAUGAGCCCGCGUUGGAUUAGGUAGUUGGUGGGGUAAAGGCCUACCAAGCCGACGAUCCAUAGCUGGUCUGAGAGGAUGAUCAGCCACACUGGGACUGAGACACGGCCCAGACUCCUACGGGAGGCAGCAGUGGGGAAUAUUGGACAAUGGGGGAAACCCUGAUCCAGCAAUGCCGCGUGAGUGAUGAAGGCCUUAGGGUUGUAAAGCUCUUUUACCCGGAAGAUAAUGACU